rnacentral:rRNA from 1 species
GACGAACGCUGGCGGCGUGCUUAACACAUGCAAGUCGAACGAAGAGCGAUGGAAGCUUGCUUCUAUCAAUCUUAGUGGCGAACGGGUGAGUAACGCGUAAUCAACCUGCCCUUCAGAGGGGGACAACAGUUGGAAACGACUGCUAAUACCGCAUACGAUCUAAUCUCGGCAUCGAGGAUAGAUGAAAGGUGGCCGCUACAUGUAAGCUAUCACUGAAGGAGGGGAUUGCGUCUGAUUAGCUAGUUGGAGGGGUAACGGCCCACCAAGGCGAGGAUCAGUAGCCGGUCUGAGAGGAUGAACGGCCCCAUUGGGACUGAGACACGGCCCAGACUCCUACGGGAGGCAGCAGUGGGGAAUCUUCCGCAAUGGACGAAAGUCUGACGGAGCAACGCCGCGUGAGUGAUGACGGCCUUCGGGUUGUAAAGCUCUGUUAAUCGGGACGAAAGGCCUUCUUGCGAAUAGUGAGAAGGAUUGACGGUACCGGAAGAGAAAGCCACGGCUAACUACGUG